GAAACCUUUCCAUGGCUACUGAAACCCUAAAUUCCGCCAUUAACGGCGAAGUCGUCGACGACGAUCUUCUUUGCUCCGACGCCACCACCACUUCAUCUAUCAUUGAACAAGAAGGAGGGAGGCAUCCAGUCGGACUGAAUUGUGCGAACGGUUACUUAAAGGGGGAAGCACGGAUAGAGAGAGCUUGGGCUCAUUGGAAGAAGUUAGGAGAGCCGAAACUUAUUGUUGCUCCAAUGGUUGACAACUCAGAGUUGCCUUUUCGUCUGCUGUGUCGAAAGCAUGGUGCGCAAGCUGCUUAUACACCUAUGCUUCACUCCCGUAUCUUCAGUGAAAAUGAGAAGUAUCGUUCUCUUGAAUUUACUACCUGCAAGGAGGAC
rnacentral:misc_RNA from 1 species